UACAGAGGUCUCGAGCGUUAGGCGGAAUCACUGGGCUUAAAGCGUGUGUAGGUGGAUCGUUAAGUACCUUGUGAAAUCCCACGGCUUAACCGUGGAACUGCUUGGUAUACUGGCGGUCUUGAGCCAGCUAGGGGCUACCGGAACAAAUGGUGGAGCGGUGAAAUGCGUAGAUAUCAGGAGGAACACCAGUGGCGAAGGCGCCGCUCUGGGCCGAGACUGACGCUGAGGAGCGAAAGCGUGGGUAGCAAACAGG
rnacentral:rRNA from 1 species